rnacentral:rRNA from 1 species
GACAGAGGGGGCAAGCGUUGCUCGGAAUUACUGGGCGUAAAGGCCGCGUAGGCGGGAUGGCAAGUCGGUCUUGAAAUCCUUCGGCUCAACCGAAGAACGUCGAUCGAUACUGCUGUUCUUGAGGGUUGCAGAGGAGACUGGAAUUCCCGGUGUAGCGGUGAAAUGUGUAGAGAUCGGGAGGAACACCGGUGGCGAAGGCGGGUCUCUGGGCAAUUCCUGACGCUGAGGCACGAAAGCGUGGGGAGCAAACAGG